UACGUAGGUGGCAAGCGUUGUCCGGAAUUAUUGGGCGUAAAGCGUGCGUAGGUGGUUCGUUAAGUCUGAUGUGAAAGCCCUGGGCUCAACCUGGGAAUGGCAUUGGAUACUGGCGACCUAGAGUGCGGUAGAGGGGUGUGGAAUUCCUGGUGUAGCGGUGAAAUGCGUAGAUAUCGGGAGGAACACCAGUGGCGAAGGCGACUACCUGGCCUGUUCUUGACGCUGAGGCGCGAAAGCUAGGGGAGCAAACGGG
rnacentral:rRNA from 1 species